CAUGGUACAUGCUAUACAUGAUAUUAAGAAUCCUGGGAAGUGACAGGUCUCAUUUAAGAUAACGUUAGCACCACUACAUCCAAUACAAUAUAAAAGCACUUGAACAAUGCUCACAUGGGUUUAAUAUAUUUUUCCAUUAGCAGGCAAACAGUAAUCUAGUGUAAACUGCACCAAUCAAAAUUGUCUAUGAAAAAUAGCAAUGCUAUUAGCUGCCUCAACUCC